rnacentral:rRNA from 1 species
GCAUGCGCAUCAUACCAGACUAAUGCACGGAUCACAGAAACUCCGCAAGUUAAGGUGCUUGGGCGAGAGUAGUACUAGGAUGGGUGACCCGUGGAAGUCCUCGUGUUGCAUCCC